UGAGAUGAACUAGGAGGCUGGGCUCUUUCCCCCCGCCGCCCCCUUCGCUUCUGUGCGUGCGCGGAGUAGGUUGCGCUCUGGUGUAAGUGGAGCUGCCGCGCGCCGCCGCCGCCUCCUCUCUCUCUCUCUCUCUCUCUCUCUGUGCGCCGCUGUUGCUGUGCUUCAGCAGGGCGCUCUCGAGACCGCCUGGGAGCGCGAGCUGUGGCAGCAGCCGGGGAGGAAAAAAGAAAAGCAGACCAAAGGGGACACGCACAACCAUGGAUCACUAUGACUCUCAGCAAACCAAUGACUACAUGCAGCCGGAGGAGGACUGGGACAGGGACAUGCUUUUGGAUCCAGCCUGGGAAAAACAGCAGAGAAAGACAUUCACAGCAUGGUGUAACUCUCACCUCCGCAAGGCCGGCACGCAGAUUGAGAACAUAGAGGAAGAUUUCAGGGAUGGUCUUAAACUCAUGUUACUUCUCGAAGUCAUUUCAGGUGAACGUUUGGCUAAGCCUGAAAGAGGCAAAAUGCGAGUGCACAAAAUCUCCAAUGUGAACAAGGCCCUGGAUUUCAUUGCUAGCAAAGGAGUGAAGCUGGUGUCUAUUGGAGCAGAAGAAAUUGUGGAUGGAAAUGUUAAAAUGACCCUUGGAAUGAUCUGGACCAUCAUCCUACGCUUUGCCAUUCAGGAUAUCUCUGUGGAAGAGACAUCUGCUAAGGAAGGGCUUUUGUUAUGGUGUCAGAGGAAGACAGCUCCCUACAAAAAUGUGAACAUUCAGAAUUUCCAUAUCAGCUGGAAGGAUGGCCUUGGCUUCUGUGCUUUGAUUCACAGACAUCGCCCAGAGCUCAUCGACUAUGGGAAGCUGCGAAAGGAUGAUCCUCUUACUAACCUAAACACAGCCUUCGACGUGGCUGAGAAGUAUCUGGACAUCCCCAAGAUGUUGGAUGCCGAAGACAUUGUUGGAACUGCCCGCCCUGACGAGAAAGCCAUCAUGACCUAUGUUUCUAGCUUCUACCACGCCUUCUCAGGAGCCCAGAAGGCGGAGACAGCAGCCAAUCGUAUCUGCAAGGUGUUGGCAGUCAAUCAGGAGAAUGAACAGCUCAUGGAAGACUAUGAAAAGCUGGCCAGUGAUCUGCUGGAAUGGAUCCGCCGCACCAUUCCUUGGCUGGAGAAUCGGGCGCCUGAGAACACCAUGCAAGCCAUGCAGCAGAAACUGGAGGACUUCCGGGACUACCGCCGCCUGCACAAGCCCCCCAAGGUCCAGGAGAAGUGCCAGCUUGAAAUCAAUUUCAAUACCUUGCAGACCAAGCUGCGGCUCAGCAACAGGCCGGCAUUCAUGCCUUCAGAGGGGAAAAUGGUCUCGGACAUAAACAAUGCAUGGGGAGGCCUAGAACAGGCUGAGAAGGGCUAUGAGGAAUGGCUGUUGAAUGAGAUCCGAAGGCUAGAGAGGCUGGACCACCUGGCUGAGAAGUUCCGGCAGAAAGCUUCCAUUCACGAGUCCUGGACAGAUGGUAAGGAGGCAAUGCUGCAGCAGAAGGAUUAUGAAACUGCUACGCUGUCGGAGAUAAAGGCCCUGCUGAAGAAACAUGAGGCCUUUGAGAGUGACCUAGCUGCUCACCAGGACCGUGUGGAGCAGAUUGCUGCUAUUGCACAAGAACUCAAUGAGCUGGAUUAUUAUGACUCACCAAGUGUCAACGCCAGGUGCCAGAAGAUAUGUGACCAAUGGGACAAUCUGGGUGCUUUAACCCAGAAACGUAGAGAGGCCUUGGAGAGGACAGAGAAGCUGCUGGAGACAAUUGACCAGUUAUACCUGGAAUAUGCAAAACGAGCCGCUCCUUUCAAUAACUGGAUGGAGGGGGCCAUGGAGGAUCUGCAGGACACCUUCAUUGUUCAUACCAUAGAGGAGAUCCAGGGAUUGACCACAGCCCAUGAACAGUUCAAGGCCACUUUGCCAGAUGCUGACAAGGAGCGACAGGCCAUCCUGGGAAUCCACAAUGAAGUCUCAAAGAUUGUCCAGACCUACCAUGUCAAUAUGGCAGGAACCAAUCCCUACACGACCAUCACCCCACAGGAAAUCAAUGGCAAAUGGGACCACGUGCGGCAGUUAGUUCCUCGAAGGGAUCAAGCCCUGAUGGAAGAGCACACACGCCAGCAACAAAAUGAACGACUCCGGAAACAGUUUGGCGCACAGGCUAAUGUCAUUGGGCCCUGGAUCCAAACCAAGAUGGAGGAGAUCGGCCGCAUUUCCAUAGAAAUGCAUGGGACCCUGGAGGACCAGCUCAGCCACCUCCGGCAGUAUGAGAAGAGCAUUAUUAAUUACAAACCAAAGAUUGACCAGCUGGAGGGAGACCACCAGCAGAUUCAGGAGGCACUCAUCUUUGACAACAAGCACACCAACUAUACCAUGGAGCAUAUCCGAGUGGGAUGGGAGCAGUUGCUUACAACAAUUGCUAGAACCAUCAAUGAAGUGGAAAAUCAGAUUCUGACCCGUGAUGCCAAAGGAAUCAGCCAGGAGCAGAUGAAUGAAUUCCGGGCCUCCUUUAACCAUUUUGACAGGAAGAAGACUGGCAUGAUGGAUUCUGAAGAUUUCAGAGCCUGCCUUAUCUCCAUGGGUUACAAUAUGGUAACGUAGAGCCCUUCUAUCACUCAUGUUCACAAUGAUUGAUAUGACCUUCUGCAAAGGGGAAGGGCACACAUUUGUAAUGAGUCAAGGUAAAAGCUACCUUAAUUCCUAGGACACUCAGAAAUGGAAACUAAGUGUUGAAAUGGUUGUGUGUAUGUGUGCGUUUAAAUCUUCGUCUUACAGCUCUAGCUGGAGGGAAGAAUGGGAGGGUUAUAUCUAAUUCUGAUCUGUGUAGAGUGAGAAUUGAUUUGGAAAACUGCAUGGCUUAUAAACUGGAAGAAGCAACAACCAACUCAUGUUGGUGUGUCCACUGUUUGCAUACAGCAACAUGUAACAUCUCCAGCAAUAAGUAACAGAUUCCAAUGGAAGUCUUCAUGACAGCCUGAUGAAUGAAUGAAUGCUGUUGUUACCAAUAAAUAUUGAAACAAAACUGUUUAUACAGGAAAUGUUUUUGCUAAAUUCUCAACGUGCAUGUCCGUGUACAUUUGUACACACACUCUGUAAAAUGUACAUUUGUACACACACUCUGUAAAAUACUGUACCACUUAUAAAUAAAUAAAUCCAACUAAAAUUCAGGCUUUAAGCUUCUAGUUCCCAAAAGUGAGACUAGAAUGGACAGUCCGUAAACUGUGUCCCCCCCACACCUGUGUGCUACAAGGGUAUUUGCUUCAAGCUUCUUCCUAAGGCCAGUUCUGACUCUAGGAUCCUGAUAUCCCUUUGUAAAGCUUUCAGUGGUAAUGUGGAAGCAAGUCUUUCAGCAGAUGUAAAUCUUAAUCUCCAUUGAUAACGUUACUGAGAUCGUUUUUUUCCAACCAACGAAAGAUACUUACACUAGAAACAGUGCAAUUAGAAUGCUUUCCUGGUAGCUGUCUCCCUUUCCUCUCCUGCCUUAUGCCUUCCCACUGUGAUCAGUGAAAUACUCCUUUAUUCCAGUCCCCUGCUGCCUGGUCAUGCAGGCUAGAGUCCUGUUUGUAGCUUUCGCAUAGCUUUUUCCAUAGUAAAUAGAUUACAGUGUUCAGGACAACACAGCAUUAGGCUGACUUUGUUGACAGAAGAAUCAUAAUGGGGAGAACUUCUGCAGGCAAAACCUAUUUGUACUAAUCUUCUCUAAGAGGAGAAGAGAAUCACACAAGUUUAAAUAAUGCUCUUAAUAAUCUUGCUGCCGCAAAUGUUAAGCAAAGCAAUCUUCCAGUGUAACCUAUUUCACAGCCCAGUAUAAGUACAAACUCCUUUAGUUUGGUGUACAAGGCCACAUCAGUUAACCUUUGACCAAAUGCUUUAAAGAUCGGGUAUGUAUGUUACUAUUUCAUGUUGAUUUGCACUGAGUUGCCUGAAGGUUUCACUCUUGCUCCCAGACAGAGAUUGGGAUCUACCCCUUCAUCCUCAUACAGGGGGAAAAAUAGUACAAGAGAUCAGAAUAGAUGCUCUUAGAUGCAGAGAAAAUUAAGAAGCAUAAGGUCUUAGCUUCCAUGUCAAAAUAAUAUACAGUUAAAGAACCCAUGGGUCUAAAGGCACUACCUGGGGGUGCUGCUCUGUCAGGCCUCUCCAAAGCAUAUAGGUCUCUGAUUUCUGAUGCCUUUUUGGUAAGGAUGAGCUUAAAACCAUUAGGAUCUAGAGAAGGGCAACAGGUGUGAUGAGAAGUAAAAGGAAAGUAAGAGAUUCCAGAGAAGAAAUUAAAGACUAUGGCCAAUUUCAAAUCUGGCUGCCCAAAAUUAGGUUCUGAAUCCAUGUUUCAGUUCCUAAAUAAAUGAUCUGAUUUUCAGAGGGCCCUGUUAUGUAGAAUUGCAUCAUUCUGUGCAUUAUAAGGACCUUUAUAUCUUGAAGUAUCCAUACUAUUAGCCGCUGUUGGAGACAUCAUACUAAACUGGAAAGAUUACUGCUCUCUUCUGGUUUGACUGCUAAUGUAAGGUAGCAGUUUUGUGGGACUAGGAUGGCAUAGUUCCAGAGCAUUGUUGAAAAUACCUAACUCCAAAGGGAAAAUGAACAUCUUUU